ACACAUGCAAGUCGAACGAGAACGAUCUCUUCGGAGAGCUAGUAAAGUGGCGCAAGGGUGAGUAACACGUGAAUAAUCUGCCCUCGAGACUGGGAUAACUUGGCGAAAGCUAGGCUAAUACCGGAUAAGACCACGUUUCGUAAGAAAUGUGGAAAAAGGAGUCUCAACCUUCACUCGAGGAUGAGUUCGCGGACCAUUAGCUUGUUGGUGAGAUAAAAGCUCACCAAGGCUACGAUGGAUAGCCGGCCUGAGAGGGCGAUCGGCCACACUGGAACUGAGACACGGUCCAGACUCCUACGGGAGGCAGCAGUGGGGAAUAUUGCGCAAUGGGCGAAAGCCUGACGCAGCAACACCGUGUGAGCGAUGAAGGCUUUAGAGUCGUAAAGCUCUGUCAAAUGGGAAGAAUUCUGACGGUACCAUUAAAGGAAGCCCCGGCUAACUCCGUGCCAGCAGCCGCGGUAAUACCGGAGGGGGCAAGCGUUGUUCGGAAUUAUUGGGCGUAAAGCGUAUGUAGGCGGCCAAGUAAGUCAAAGCGUGUAAGCCCGUGGCUCAACCACGGAAUUGCGUUUGAAACU
rnacentral:rRNA from 1 species